CUUGAUGAUGCCAGGCAGAAUGACAAUGAUGAUGCAACUUGUUCUUCUGGUAAACAGCAUUGUGAAAACUGUUAGAGACAUUAUGAACUGCAGCUUAACCAAAUGUGAUGAGGUUGAACAUAAGCGGCAUCAUCAAUUCAUGAACAACCCUGAAAAGGUUUACAGGGACAAUUUUGUAAAAUAUUGUUUUGGAGCCAAUUAAAUUCAACCCGAGGUAAGAAGUGCAUCAGUGUUCUUAAAGAUGGUUUCUUUUCAACUUUAGCCAGCAUGUUUUUACUUCAGAAGCAUGACAUUAUUAGGGCCAGCCUAUAGAUGGGAGCCCUAUAGUGAUCAGUAUGGCAUGUCAUACGUUGCAAUAUUUGAUCUUUUUCAUUUGUAUUGUAUAAUUUUCCAUUUAUAUUCUAUAUUUUCCAUUUGCAUUGUAUAAUUUUUCAUUUGCAUUGUAUAAUUUCCAUUUGUAUUGUAUAAUUUUCGAUUUGUAUUCUAUAUUUUCCAUUUGUAUUGUAUAAUUUUCCAUUUGUAUUCUAUAUUUUCCAUUCGUAUUCUAUAUUUUCCAUUUAUAUUAUAUAUUUUUUUUUC